rnacentral:rRNA from 1 species
GGUUAAGCGACUAAGCGUACACGGUGGAUGCCCUGGCAGUCAGAGGCGAUGAAGGACGUGCUAAUCUGCGAUAAGCGUCGGUAAGGUGAUAUGAACCGUUAUAACCGGCGAUUUCCGAAUGGGGAAACCCAGUGUGUUUCGACACACUAUCAUUAACUGAAUCCAUAGGUUAAUGAGGCGAACCGGGGGAACUGAAACAUCUAAGUACCCCGAGGAAAAGAAAUCAACCGAGAUUCCCCCCAGUAGCGGCGAGCGAACGGGGAGGAGCCCAGAGCCUGAAUCAGUGUGUGUGUUAGUGGAAGCGUCUGGAAAGGCGCGCGAUACAGGGUGACAGCCCCGUACACAAAAAUGCACAUGCUGUGAGCUCGAUGAGUAGGGCGGGACACGUGGUAUCCUGUCUGAAUAUGGGGGACCAUCCUCCAAGGCUAAAUACUCCUGACUGACCGAUAGUGAACCAGUACCGUGAGGGAAAGGCGAAAAGAACCCCGGCGAGGGGAGUGAAAAAGAACCUGAAACCGUGUACGUACAAGCAGUGGGAGCACAGAGCAAUCUGUGUGACUGCGUACCUUUGUAUAAUGGGUCAGCGACUUAUAUUCUGUAGCAAGGUUAACCGAAUAGGGGAGCCGAAGGGAAACCGAGUCUUAACUGGGCGUUAAGUUGCAGGGUAUAGACCCGAAACCCGGUGAUCUAGCCAUGGGCAGGUUGAAGGUUGGGUAACACUAACUGGAGGACCGAACCGACUAAUGUUGAAAAAUUAGCGGAUGACUUGUGGCUGGGGGUGAAAGGCCAAUCAAACCGGGAGAUAGCUGGUUCUCCCCGAAAGCUAUUUAGGUAGCGCCUCGUGAAUUCAUCUCCGGGGGUAGAGCACUGUUUCGGCAAGGGGGUCAUCCCGACUUACCAACCCGAUGCAAACUGCGAAUACCGGAGAAUGUUAUCACGGGAGACACACGGCGGGUGCUAACGUCCGUCGUGAAGAGGGAAACAACCCAGACCGCCAGCUAAGGUCCCAAAGUCAUGGUUAAGUGGGAAACGAUGUGGGAAGGCCCAGACAGCCAGGAUGUUGGCUUAGAAGCAGCCAUCAUUUAAAGAAAGCGUAAUAGCUCACUGGUCGAGUCGGCCUGCGCGGAAGAUGUAACGGGGCUAAACCAUGCACCGAAGCUGCGGCAGCGACACUGUGUGUUGUUGGGUAGGGGAGCGUUCUGUAAGCCUGUGAAGGUGUGCUGUGAGGCAUGCUGGAGGUAUCAGAAGUGCGAAUGCUGACAUAAGUAACGAUAAAGCGGGUGAAAAGCCCGCUCGCCGGAAGACCAAGGGUUCCUGUCCAACGUUAAUCGGGGCAGGGUGAGUCGACCCCUAAGGCGAGGCCGAAAGGCGUAGUCGAUGGGAAACAGGUUAAUAUUCCUGUACUUGGUGUUACUGCGAAGGGGGGACGGAGAAGGCUAUGUUGGCCGGGCGACGGUUGUCCCGGUUUAAGCGUGUAGGCUGGUUUUCCAGGCAAAUCCGGAAAAUCAAGGCUGAGGCGUGAUGACGAGGCACUACGGUGCUGAAGCAACAAAUGCCCUGCUUCCAGGAAAAGCCUCUAAGCAUCAGGUAACAUCAAAUCGUACCCCAAACCGACACAGGUGGUCAGGUAGAGAAUACCAAGGCGCUUGAGAGAACUCGGGUGAAGGAACUAGGCAAAAUGGUGCCGUAACUUCGGGAGAAGGCACGCUGAUAUGUAGGUGAAGUCCCUCGCGGAUGGAGCUGAAAUCAGUCGAAGAUACCAGCUGGCUGCAACUGUUUAUUAAAAACACAGCACUGUGCAAACACGAAAGUGGACGUAUACGGUGUGACGCCUGCCCGGUGCCGGAAGGUUAAUUGAUGGGGUCAGCGCAAGCGAAGCUCUUGAUCGAAGCCCCGGUAAACGGCGGCCGUAACUAUAACGGUCCUAAGGUAGCGAAAUUCCUUGUCGGGUAAGUUCCGACCUGCACGAAUGGCGUAAUGAUGGCCAGGCUGUCUCCACCCGAGACUCAGUGAAAUUGAACUCGCUGUGAAGAUGCAGUGUACCCGCGGCAAGACGGAAAGACCCCGUGAACCUUUACUAUAGCUUGACACUGAACAUUGAGCCUUGAUGUGUAGGAUAGGUGGGAGGCUUUGAAGUGUGGACGCCAGUCUGCAUGGAGCCGACCUUGAAAUACCACCCUUUAAUGUUUGAUGUUCUAACGUGGACCCGUGAUCCGGGUUGCGGACAGUGUCUGGUGGGUAGUUUGACUGGGGCGGUCUCCUCCUAAAGAGUAACGGAGGAGCACGAAGGUUGGCUAAUCCUCGGUCGGACAUCAGGAGGUUAGUGCAAUGGCAUAAGCCAGCUUGACUGCGAGCGUGACGGCGCGAGCAGGUGCGAAAAGCAGGUCAUAGUGAUCCGGUGGUUCUGAAUGGAAGGGCCAUCGCUCAACGGAUAAAAGGUACUCCGGGGAUAACAGGCUGAUACCGCCCAAGAGUUCAUAUCGACGGCGGUGUUUGGCACCUCGAUGUCGGCUCAUCACAUCCCUGGGGCUGAAGUAGGUCCCAAGGGUAUGGCUGUUCGCCAUUUAAAGUGGUACGCGAGCUGGGUUUAGAACGUCGUGAGACAGUUCGGUCCCUAUCUGCCGUGGGCGCUGGAGAACUGAGGGGGCUGCUCCUAGUACGAGAGGACCGGAGUGGACGCAUCACUGGUGUUCGGGUUGUCAUGCCAAUGGCACUGCCCGGUAGCUAAAUGCGGAAGAGAUAAGUGCUGAAAGCAUCUAAGCACGAAACUUGCCCCGAGAUGAGUUCUCCCUGACCCUUUAAGGGUCCUGAAGGAACGUUGAAGACGACGACGUUGAUAGGCCGGGUGUGUAAGCGCAGCGAUGCGUUGAGCUAACCGGUACUAAUGAACCGUGAGGCUUAACCUU